ACGGGAGGCAGCAGUGGGGAAUAUUGGACAAUGGGGGGAACCCUGAUGCAGCGACGCCGCGUGAGCGAAGAAGUAUCUCGGUAUGUAAAGCUCUAUCAGCAGGGAAGAAACAGGACGGUACCUGCACAAGAAGCCCCGGCUAACUACGUUCCAGCAGCCGCGGUAAUACGUAGGGGCCGAGCGUUGUCCAGAUUUACUGGGGGUAAAGGGAGCGUAGACGGCUGUGCAAGUCUGGAGUGAAAUUCCGCGGCUCAACCGCGGAACUGCUCUGGAAACUGCAGGGCUCGAGUACCGGAGGGGCAGGCGGAACGCCUAGUGUAGCGGUGAAAUGCGUAGAUAUUAGGAAGAACACCGGCGGCGAAGGCGGCCUGCUGGACGGUAACUGACGUUGAGGCUCGAAAGCGUGGGGAGCAAACAGGAUUAGAUACCCUGGUA
rnacentral:rRNA from 1 species